CUGAAGUACAUGAGAGGGUGUACUUUAUUAUAUAAGGGCUCUUUGUGGAAAUCGGGAUUCGGAAAAUACACCCUUACUCAACCUAUUGAAAACUGUUAUGCAGAUGUACAUAUGGGAUAUCAUAAAUCUAGGAGAUCGCGGAUGAGACGGAUGGAGGACAGAUGACAGCACACACCUCAGUAUAACCAUUAAGGGUAAUAUCCACACAGAGACUUGGGAGGAGACAUGCUGGAGUGGAGCGCUGGAGAACGCAAAGGAGGUAGGAG